GUACACGCUGUGACUAGCAUAUCAAUAAGCGGAGGAAAAGAAACUAACAAGGAUUCCCCUAGUAACGGCGAGUGAAGCGGGAAGAGCUCAAAUUUGAAAUCUUAAAGGGUUUCCCUUUACGAAUUGUAGUUUAAAGAAGUGUUUUCUGUUGAGGUUUUGGUAAAAGUUCUUUGGAAUAGGACAUCAUAGAGGGUGAGAAUCCCGUAUUUGACCUUUACUUUCAACUUUGUGAUACACUUUCAAAGAGUCGGAUUGUUUGGGAAUGCAGUCCAAAAUGGGUGGUAAAUUUCAUCUAAAGCUAAAUAUUGGCGAGAGACCGAUAGCGAACAAGUACCGUGAGGGAAAGAUGAAAAGAACUUUGAAAAGAGAGUUAAACAGUACGUGAAAUUGUCAAAAGGGAAGCGUUUGACACCAGUGUUGUUUUUCUGAAAAUCAAUUAAAGAACUGUUUAUGCUAAGUUGUUUAGGACUUUAUCAGCUAACUGUUUAGUUUUGAGCUUUUCUUUAAUGCACUUUUCAGUUAACAAGUCAACAUCAAUUUCUUUUGCUGUAAAAAAGCUUGAGGAAGGUGGCUUGAGAUUCGUCUUAAGUGUUUAUAGCCUCUUGCCUAUGCAGUCGGAGAGAUUGAGGUCUGCAGCGUAGAUCCUUCGGGGCUAAAUGCAUUUGUGCUAAGUUAUAACAUUUUAUAGACAACUUGUUGACUAUGAUUUGUCUUGUAGCUUACUCGCUUAUGUUAUUUUACCUACGCUUAGAUGUUGACAGCAGUAUAGACUGU
rnacentral:rRNA from 1 species